AGGAGCUCAUGGGCAGAGGGAUUAGGAGAGGGAGGCUGGGAAGAUGAAACAGGUUUGAAAGGGCAACUGAAACCAGUUUAGGUUAGAUUACUUUUCAAAACCAUUGGGAAUUUUUUUUAGAGUAAAUGAAGGGAUUGCACUCUGCUGAAAUUCAUCGUUUACAACUUUAAAAAGGGACACAGGUAAUUUUCAUCUGUGAUCUCUGCUGUGGUUGAUUUCAAAUACUGUGUGCAUAUAUCUUAGUCAGGUAUUUGUCCCUAAAAAGUGUUAGGAGAAGCAUUAAAUUUUAAACUAAAAGGAAACUGAAGAAAAAUAGAAGAUCAAAAAAGACUUAAUCCUAAUAACACAGGGACAGUAAAUUGUAGACUGAUGAGGGACUUUGAGAAAGUCCCUCCAAAAGAGUUUAGCCAAGCAAAAUUUAAACUGAAAACUGAGGAAAAUACCAAGAUGGAGAUUUUAAAGAGAAUCAGGGAAAUUAAAAAUACUGGACUGGAAACGCCAAGAGAAAAUAAAGAUAAAUGAAGGUAUGUGAAGGGGGGAAUCAAGUUUUAUUUACCUUUCAAACUAAUGAGUAUUUGGAUGAAAAGAAGGAGCACAUGAAAGGGUACACGGAUAUGAAGUCUGCUUAAAGCAGUGGGAGAAUGAGUAGGGAAAAUAGAAGGUUUUUCUUUUAAAAGCCAACUAGAUAAGUCAUUUCAUGAAUGGAAAGUUGGAGUUUUUGGUUGUUGAAGCUAGAAAUGUGCAUGUGGAGAAAAAAAAGAGCAAAGAAGACAGGGAGAGGACAAAACCAUUCCUUCGGAUUUCAUGUUUGCUCAGGUUGCCUUGGAAGGAGAGAAAGACAGGUAAGUUAAAAACUUGCUGAAAAGGCAAAUAAAGCAUUUUGAGGAUGAACCUGCUCAGGGACAUGGCAAGUCCAGGAUCCUGUGGGAAAGUGCUUUCUCUGAGGGAAGUUCCUGAGAGUGGCUAAAGUGGUGGAUUAGGACCUGGGAGUCUAGAGUUCAAAUCCUCCCUCUGCCAUGAAGCAGUUCUCUAUCUCUCAGCCUAACCUACCUCACAGGGUUCUUAUGAGGAUCUAAUGAGAAAGCAGACGAGAACAUCAACUCCACUAAGCCUUUCCAGCAGAACUUGCAAGAUUACAAAAAGAUAUGGGAAAUGGAGCUCAAAUGGAACAGGCCAGGCAAAAUUACCCCUGAUGUGUAACGUGAUUAUCUAGUGGUAAUAACCAAGGAUUUUGGAUUUUAUUUUAAUUUCACUAAACAUCUUCUAGGAACAGCUAUUUAGCUCAUUGCUGAGACAACACAAAGCGUUGACUCUAUACAAAAAACUUGGAUAUUCUAGCACUGAAGGUAAUAUAUUUAAAAUACCAAUUUUAAAACCAGAUCUAGCAGUCAGCUUCCUUUGCCAGUAACUUCCCAUCUGGAAACUAGUGCUGCAGUUGAAGGCAGGUAAAUUUUAAAUACUCUUGAUUUGUCAGAAGUGGUGACAGGUGCAAAUACCUAACAAGUAAACUUGAAACGCUACAUCAUAAUUAAAGUAACAAUGCAGUUGCAUGUAUUCUGACUGAAGGGCAUUUAGGUGAGUAUCUCGUGCUUGGCUGGAGAGAAAAACUCUUUUCCACCUGCACUUCUUGUGCUAAGACACUUUAAAGUCAAUGUUUUAUUUACCUUACAAACUAAUUAGUCUUUGGAUGAAGACUACUCAGUGAUCUUUUUCAAUGCAAUGCUUUUGUACUGGCCUCUCCUUUCUGUAUAUUCCCAUCUUAAAAUGGAGCCUUGAACUCUGGAAUAUGUCUCCAGUGUGUCUUGCAAGUGGAGGAUUCCAGUGGAGGGAGAACGAAUGCUUGAGAAGCAUUGUAGUGAGUAGAGCUGUACUGAAAUGACUGGCCUUUCCAGCAGCAAUGACAAGAUUACAUAAUCAAUGGGAAACGGACAUCAAAAGAUACAACAGGGCAGGCAAAACUAUCACCAAUAGGUAAGGUGGCUGUGGUAGUAAUAACUCUAAAAUCAUGGCCUAUGAUCUCACUGACAAAUGUGUUAAGGGGGUGGAUUAUGCUGUAUCCCUCACCGCUCCAUGUGCAUCCCUCCCGAAGCAACGCACUUGGUGGAAGAGGACGACCAUCCCAGAUUGGAGGAGUGUACCGUUCUUAUGGAGAAAGCUAGAGAGUUCUGGAAAGACAUCUACUUCUGCUUCAUUGACUAUGCAAAAGCCUUUGACUGUGUCGACCACAGCAAACUACGGCAAGUUCUUAAAGAAAUGGGAGUGCCUGAUCACCUCAUCUGUCUCCUGAGAAAUCUCUAUGUGGGACAAGAAGCUACAGUUAGAACUGGAUAUGGAACAACUGAUUGGUUCAAAAUUGGGAAAGGAGUACGACAAGGCUGUAUUUUGUCUCCCUGUUUAUUUAACUUAUAUGCAGAAUUCAUCAUGCGAAAGGCUGGGCUGGAUGAAUCCCUAGCCGGAAUUAAGAUUGCCUGAAGAAAUAUCAACAACCUCAGAUAUGCAGAUGACACAACCUUGAUGGCAGAAAGUGAGGAGGAAUUAAAGAACCUUUUAUGGAGGGUGAAAGAGGAGAGCACAAAAUAUGGUCUGAAGCUCAACAUCAAAAAAACGAAGAUCAUGGCCACUGGGCCCAUCACCUCCUGGCAAAUAGAAGGGGAAGAAAUGGAGGCAGUGAGAGAUUUUACUUUCUUGGGCUCCAUGAUCACUGCAGAUGGUGUCAGCAGCCACGAAAUUAAGAGACGCCUGCUUCUUGGGAGGAAAGCAAUGACAAACCUAGACAGCAUCUUAAAAAGUAGAGACAUCCCAGAAUUCACUGUACCUGAAGCAGAUCUGUUCAGUUGAUGAGAAAGAUGCAAUGUGCGUAAAAGCUCUUGAUACAUCAAGAAAAACCCUGCAGUGAGAGUCACCAGCGCUAGGACAGUGCUGAUUUAGGUAAAUUCACGUUGCACCAUUCAGUAUUUUUUUUCCAGGGCAAUGUUUUUUGUAUGGGUCUCUCCUUUUUCCCAUUUUCUUUUCUGAUGGUCUUUUCGCAGUUCUCUCCAAAGAUCCUGCAACACUCAAAUGAAGCCAGCUCUUCCGGCUGAGUCCCAGAAGUCACAGUGGUAAGAAUUAAAAAAACAAAAACAAAAAAAACAACACAAAACUUAUUUUCUGCAGGAUUGGUGAAAGGUGGCUGGGGACAAACUAGUGACUCUUGAUUGUAACCCAACUGAAGGAGCUGCCAAGUCACACCUCAAAUGGACAAACGAAAGGGUGAGCAUUGAGCAAUCUUUCCUCUUUCCACACCAAGCUUAAUGGCAGAGAUUUAAGUCUGAAUCGCAUCUCUCUGUUCUGCCCCUCUAGAUUAAUGGCUUAUCUAGCUUCAGUCAAAAAUGGUGGUCAAAAUGGUAUUCCAGGACUGAAGGACAUUUAGGUGAGUAUCCCUUGCUUGGCUAGGGAGAAAAUCUCUGUUGUGUUCUACAAUUCUUUGUGCUAAGACUCUUUCAGGUUGCGGUGACUGAGUCGUCAGAAGAGGCCCUAUUCCGUGUCCCCACAAUGAGACUCACCUGCAGGUAGGAGAACACUUCUUCUUUUGUUCCAGCCCUUCUUUCCUUUUGUUCCAGCUCCUCCUUUCUUCAGGCUUCCCAGAGCUCACUGUACCUGAAGCAAAUCUGUUCAGUUGGCGAGAAAGACGCAGUGUGAGUAAGAGCUCUUGAUACUUCAAGAAAAUCCCUGCAGUGAGAGUCACCAGCAUUAGGACAGUGCUGCUUUAGUCAAAAUGGUAUUCCAUGAUUGACAUACAUUUAGGUGAGUAUCCCUUGCUUGGCUAGGGAGGAAAUCUGUAUUGUGUUCUGUAUGAAACUGUUUGUGCUAUGGCUCUUUCAGGUUGCAGUGACUGAGUCGUCGGAAGUGGAAGCCUUUUGCAGCAGAUUUCUUUGUAACUCUUAAGUUUGUUUUUUCCCUGAGAGAACAUUCUAUUUUGUAUGACUCAGUAGGGUAGCAAUCAUUUUUAAAUGUGCAUACAUAUACAGCAUUUGCAAAUUAGUCUCCUCCUCUUUUUGUUUUUAAAGCCAUGUGUCAGUGGUCACUAUAAGCAAAGAGGCCAAUUUCUGCAAUUUGGACACUGAGGGGAGAUCAGAGGGAGAAGAUGGAGAGGAGGAUCUGGAUGCUGAAGGGGCAACAAAGAUUCGGGAGCAGGAAGAACCUGUGAAAGGGAGCAGUUCAGACUCCAAGGCUGAAGCAGAGGAGGGGCGACAAGAGACUGCUGAGGAAUCCAGGGAGUCUCCCUCUCCUGCUGCAACAAGCUCCCCUCCAGCCUUGUCUCCAAGAACACACAGAAUAAUGAGGAGAGUGGAACAGAGGCCAAAGAUGCUCAGAUGCUGUUUGAGACUGCUGGGGAGAGCAGGAGUCCUAGAAGGCAGGGACCGUCAGUCCUGACAACUGCUGCACAGGGGCAAGACCUACUGGGAAGUCGCUGAGUUGUAUGUUCAUUUCCUUGAAUAAAAAAGUUGACUGAGCACUGAAAACUGCCUUUGCUUCUUCAUGCUGACCUGCAUCCCUGACAGCCUGGCCCUUUGUGUUUCCCCUGAUCGUGGGAAGGGCAGUUUGACCCUAACUUUACUUAGGAAGGAGAGAGUGUUGGUCAAAGGCGUCCUGGUAGUUGCCCCCCCCCUUAAAGGCUGUAGCUCAG